CCUACGGGUGGCAGCAGUGAGGAAUAUUGGUCAAUGGGCGCGAGCCUGAACCAGCCAAGUAGCGUGAAGGAUGACUGCCCUACGGGUUGUAAACUUCUUUUAUAAUGGAAUAAAGCGAGGCACGUGUGCCUUUUUGCAUGUACUUUAUGAAUAAGGAUCGGCUAACUCCGUGCCAGCAGCCGCGGUAAUACGGAGGUUCCGAGCGUUAUCCGGAUUUACUGGGUUUAAAGGGCGCGUAGAUGGGUUGUUAAGUCAGUUGUGAAAGUUUGCGGCUCAACCGUAAAAUUGCAAUUGAUACUGGCAGCCUUGAGUGCAGUUGAGGUAGGCGGAAUUCGUGGUGUAGCGGUGAAAUGCGUAGAUAUCACGAGGAACUCCGAUUGCGAAGGCAGCUUACUAGACUGCCACUGACGUUGAUGCUCGAAAGUGUGGGUAUCAAACAGGAUUAGAUACCCGUGUAGUC
rnacentral:rRNA from 1 species